AUUGAACGCUGGCGGCAGGCCUAACACAUGCAAGUCGAACGGUAACAGGAAGCAGCUUGCUGCUUUGCUGACGAGUGGCGGACGGGUGAGUAAUGUCUGGGAAACUGCCUGAUGGAGGGGGAUAACUACUGGAAACGGUAGCUAAUACCGCAUAACGUCGCAAGACCAAAGAGGGGGACCUUCGGGCCUCUUGCCAUCGGAUGUGCCCAGAUGGGAUUAGCUAGUAGGUGGGGUAACGGCUCACCUAGGCGACGAUCCCUAGCUGGUCUGAGAGGAUGACCAGCCACACUGGAACUGAGACACGGUCCAGACUCCUACGGGAGGCAGCAGUGGGGAAUAUUGCACAAGGGGCGCAAGCCUGAUGCAGCCAUGCCGCGUGUAUGAAGAAGGCCUUCGGGUUGUAAAGUACUUUCAGCGGGGAGGAAGGGAGUAAAGUUAAUACCUUUGCUCAUUGACGUUACCCGCAGAAGAAGCACCGGCUAACUCCGU
rnacentral:rRNA from 1 species